UAGAGUCCAGAAAUAUUUAUUUAUUGAAAUCAUGUAUUAGAUCAAUGAAUUUAUGGUGAUUGUCUUAAUUUCCUGUAAAAAAUUAGUUUGAAUACAUCUUAAUAAACAUGUUCUAGGUACCAAUAUUUGUAGAUAUUAAUUAUAUAGUUAAUUGCAGAUAAAUUGAUAUGACACAUAAAUAUAUACACAUUAAAAACAAUAAGAAAUUAUGAAAGUAUAAUAAUAUCAUUGAAAACCAAUAUACCUGUGUAGAUAAAUAUUUUUUUGUAUAAAAGGUACAUUUAACCAGUGUUAUUCUCCAAAUAUAUAUAAUAUUUAUUUAUAUGAACAAAUAUAUAUAUAUAUAUAUAUAUAAAUAUUGAUAUCUAUAUUUUAUUUGAGAAUAUGAGUACAAUAUUCUUUAAAUAUGAUUACACGAAUUUAGGACAUUAAUACAAAUCAUUUUCACAAUAAUUUAACUAAUAUAUAUAUUUGAUUUUAAAAAGGCAUAAUUUUAGAAUUUUCAUAAUUAAUUGACGAUUAUAAAAUUUGAUAUUACUUUUUUUGUCAUAAAAAUUGUAUUACUUAAAAGCCGAAGUAAGUUCAUAUAUAAAAUAAAUUAA